UACGUAGGGCGCAAGCGUUAUCCGGAAUUAUUGGGCGUAAAGAGCUCGUAGGCGGUUUGUCGCGUCUGCCGUGAAAGUCCGGGGCUCAACUCCGGAUCUGCGGUGGGUACGGGCAGACUAGAGUGAUGUAGGGGAGACUGGAAUUCCUGGUGUAGCGGUGAAAUGCGCAGAUAAUCAGGAGGAACACCGAUGGCGAAGGCAGGUCUCUGGGCAUUAACUGACGCUGAGGAGCGAAAGCUGGGGAGCGAACAGG
rnacentral:rRNA from 1 species